rnacentral:rRNA from 1 species
GAUGAACGCUGGCGGCGUGCCUAAUACAUGCAAGUCGAGCGAACGGACGAGAAGCUUGCUUCUCUGAUGUUAGCGGCGGACGGGUGAGUAACACGUGGAUAACCUACCUAUAAGACUGGGAUAACUUCGGGAAACCGGAGCUAAUACCGGAUGAUAUUUUGAACCGCAUGGUUCAAAAGUGAAAGACGGUCUUGCUGCCACUUAUAGAUGGAUCCGCGCUGCAUUAGCUAGUUGGUAAGGUAACGGCUUACCAAGGCAACGAUGCAUAGCCGACCUGAGAGGGUGAUCGGCCACACUGGAACUGAGACACGGUCCAGACUCCUACGGGAGGCAGCAGUAGGGAAUCUUCCGCAAAGGGCGAAAGCCUGACGGAGCAACGCCGCGUGAGUGAUGAAGGUCUUCGGAUCGUAAAACUCUGUUAUUAGGGAAGAACAUAUGUGUAAGUAACUGUGCACAUCUUGACGGUACCUAAUCAGAAAGCCACGGCUAACUACGUG